CCCGCUGAACUUAAGCAUAUCAGUAAGCGGAGGAAAAGAAACUAAAUAGGAUUCCCUCAGUAACGGCGAGUGAACUGGGAAAUGUCCAUCGCUAAAUCAUUUUGCAUCAAACAUCAUGAGGUGUAGCGUAUAAGCCGUGAUCUUUGAUCAGUUAUCUCAAACAAGUCCUCUUGACAGAGGUUCCAAAGAAGGUGCAAGUCCUGUACAUUGGGAUAACUGAUUGAUAUUUGCGUACUUUAGAGUCGGGUUGCUUGGGAUCGCAGCCCAAAGUCGGUGGUAAACUUCAUCUAAGACUUAAUAUCGCCACGAGUCCGAUAGCAAACAAGUACUGUGAAGGAAAGUUGCAAAGCACUUUGAAGAGAGAGUUAAAGAGGACGUGAAACCGGUGAGGAGGAAACGGAUAGAGUCGGCGUAUCUUGCAAGUAUUCAAUUACUUUAUUAUUGUGUUGUUAUCUCUGAGCUCCAGAUUGGGACAGAGGAAAGCAGCAUGAUUUAAUGUGAUGCAUUUACUUGUCUGGUGUGUGGGGGUAUCUAAGAUGGAUUUGCAACCAAUGUUUUGAGGCCAGCUUGCUGGUACCCAAACAUUGUUAACAUUUUUUAUCUUGGAUAUUCGAGUACGGCUUACGUGCAUUUUUUGUAUUGAUCUAAGUGCAAGUUACGGUCGCAUGCGACACGUGCUUUUCAUUUAGUUCGGUGCAGUUAAUGCUCUCGUACUCUCCCCCCAUGUAAAAGCCGGUCAUCUAUUUGACCCGUCUUGAAACACGG
rnacentral:rRNA from 1 species